ACGCUGGCGGCAGGCCUAACACAUGCAAGUCGAGCGGUAGAGAGAAGCUUGCUUCUCUUGAGAGCGGCGGACGGGUGAGUAAUGCCUAGGAAUCUGCCUGGUAGUGGGGGAUAACGUUCGGAAACGGACGCUAAUACCGCAUACGUCCUACGGGAGAAAGCAGGGGACCUUCGGGCCUUGCGCUAUCAGAUGAGCCUAGGUCGGAUUAGCUAGUUGGUGGGGUAAUGGCUCACCAAGGCGACGAUCCGUAACUGGUCUGAGAGGAUGAUCAGUCACACUGGAACUGAGACACGGUCCAGACUCCUACGGGAGGCAGCAGUGGGGAAUAUUGGACAAUGGGCGAAAGCCUGAUCCAGCCAUGCCGCGUGUGUGAAGAAGGACUUCGGAUUGUAAAGCACUUUAAGUUGGGAGGAAGGGCAGUUGCCUAAUACGUAACUGUUUUGACGUUACCGACAGAAUAAGCACCGGCUAACUCUGUGCCAGCAGCCGCGGUAAUACAGAGGGUGCAAGCGUUAAUCGGAAUUACUGGGCGUAAAGCGCGCGUAGGUGGUUUGUUAAGUUGGAUGUGAAAUCCCCGGGCUCAACCUGGGAACUGCAUUCAAAACUGACUGACUAGAGUAUGGUAGAGGGUGGUGGAAUUUCCUGUGUAGCGGUGAAAUGCGUAGAUAUAGGAAGGAACACCAGUGGCGAAGGCGACCACCUGGACUGAUACUGACACUGAGGUGCGAAAGCGUGGGGAGCAAAC
rnacentral:rRNA from 1 species